UCCCGGCGCCACAAGUGGGGACCAUGGUUAUUGGGCCUAAAGCGUUCGUAGCAGGUCGGAUAAAUCUCUUGUGAAAUCGUUGGGCUUAACCUAACGGCGGGCAAGAGAGACUGUUCGACUAGAGACCGGGAGGGGUUAGAGGUAUUCCUUGGGGAGCGGUAAAAUGUUAUAAUCCUUGGAAGACCACCUGUGGCGAAGGCGUCUAACCAGAACGGGUCUGACUGUGAGGAACGAAAGCCAGGGGAGCAAUCCGG
rnacentral:rRNA from 1 species